AACGAACGCUGGCGGCGUGGAUAAGACAUGCAAGUCGAACGGAGGGUUUUUGAAGCUUGCUUUAAGAACCCUUAGUGGCGAACGGGUGAGUAACACGUGAGUUACCUGCCCCGAAGUGGGAGAUAGCCCGGAGAAAUUCGGAUUAAUACCCCAUGUGAUCGAAAGAUUAAAGGCGGCGUUAGCUGUCGCUUCGGGAUGGGCUCGGGGCCUAUCAGCUAGUUGGCGGGGUAACGGCCCACCAAGGCAAUGACGGGUGGCUGAUCUGAGAGGAUGAUAAGCCACACUGGAACUGAGACACGGUCCAGACACCUACGGGUGGCAGCAGUCGAGAAUCAUUCGCAAUGGGCGAAAGCCUGACGGUGCGACGCCGCGUGGAGGAUGAAGGCCCUAGGGUCGUAAACUCCUGUCAUCAGGGAGUAAGGGCUUGCGCAGUCACUGGCGCGGGCAUUGAUAGUACCUGAAGAGGAAGGGACGGCUAACUACGUGCCAGCCGCCGCCGUAAGAC
rnacentral:rRNA from 1 species